rnacentral:misc_RNA from 1 species
GUAGGUGAACCUGCGGAAGGAUCAUUACCUUUCAGUACAGAAGCGUUGUGUUGGUUGAGUUGUGCCGGUUGAGUCUCGCUGACAAGUGGGAUUCCUGGUGGCAACUCCCUUCAUAAUUCUCCCUGUCUAUCAUCCUUGUCUUUUGCGUACUAUUGUUUCCUCGGUGGGCUUGCCCACCGGUUGGACAACCUUAUAACCUAUUUAAUUUUCAAUCAGCGUCUGAAAUAAUAUAAUAAUUACAACUUUCAAC